UACGUAGGGUGCGAGCGUUAAUCGGAAUUACUGGGCGUAAAGCGUGCGCAGGCGGUUUUGUAAGCCAGAUGUGAAAUCCCCGGGCUUAACCUGGGAAUGGCAUUUGGGACUGCAAGGCUUGAGUGUGGCAGAGGAGACUGGAAUUCCUGGUGUAGCAGUGAAAUGCGUAGAUAUCAGGAGGAACACCGAUGGCGAAGGCGGCGACCUGGGCCAAUAUUGACGCUGAGGUGCGAAAGCGUGGGGAGCAAACAGG
rnacentral:rRNA from 1 species